CAUCGCUUCAGGGCGGGGUGCAAUUCCCCACCGGUGGUAAGUUCAGUUUGAAUGACUCAGACUGAAUCAGCCCACGAGCCAGCCAAGCAGAAAUCAUCUAUUUGGCUCGCAGAUUUGGUUCAAUUCCAAAGCCGACGGUAUAGUCCGGAUGAAAGAAGACGACG
rnacentral:ncRNA from 2 species